UUAGGCUCCUGUGCAGUGAUUUCCCUGCUGUACUCACUGACUCGCACAAAAUCUCAGGGAAGAGCACAGGCACCAACCAACUAUGCUGGAGAGAAGAGGAAAGUUUGGAAGAUUACUGAAGAAAUCUUUCCUCUACUUCCAUGUGGUGAAAGAGAGAGGAAUGCAACACACCUCUCCAUGGAAGAAAUCAAGGAGGAUGACCAACAAUUCACAGGCAAUCUUGAUAGCCCUUGAUAGUCACACCCACCCUGUGACAUUGGGCCACUUGGAUGCCAUUUUAGCAUUUUCCUUUCCACCGUCUCAUUGGAGCAUCUCAUCAACCUUGCUAAGGAGACAACAAACUACAACAAAACCCCGCAAGGCUUAGAGAUAUUUGCCCAGAGCCAUGCAGGUGAAAAUAUGGAAGAAACAAAAUGCCAAUUUAAGUCUUCUUCCAUAGAAUCCUUUGAUCUUUCUGAUACUCCACAUCACACCACCCAUCAGUUCAUUUAUUCAAGAAAUGGUUACUGAGUAACUUUCAUGGGCCAAGCCCUUUUCCAGCUACUGAAGAUGCAAUUCUCAUAAGGAAUUCACAGAGAACAAGUAACCUGAUACAUUACAGAAUGUAUAGCCAGAGUAGUAGCAAGGUGCUAAGGGGUACACAGAGGAAGAGACACAAGAGCUUCUUGUGUUAUGGGGUAGAGGGCAAUGGGGAGGCUUCAUGCAGGAGCUAGCAUUUGAGCUCAGAUGUGGUGGAUAGGUAGGAGUUUUCCAGGGCAACAAAGCAGGCAAAUAUCUGAGACCAGAGGAAACGGCAUAUUCAAGGGCACAGGCAUGACCAGGCCUGACUCUUCCAGGGAAUAUGGCUGGAGUGAAUACAGGAGAGAUGAGAGAGAAUGCUGGAAUGGAAGGAGAGGACUUCAUACCAGAAACUGAGAGUAGUCAGAGAGGUGUUUUCAGCAAGGGAGAGGCACAUUCAGAUUUUUGGUUUGGGGAAACCACCUAUGCGAAAUUUAGAAUAAAAAGUGAAAAAAGAGCCUGAAGAUGGGAAAAUAGGUAAAUUAUGAGAGUGGCAGUGUGGAAGAAGGAAUAUUGCAUCUGGGAAUACAAUUGGAAGAUUUAGUGACUUGGAUGAGAAUAUGAGAGAGAAGAGGAAAAGCUGAGGCUCAGACAAGAGAUCUCUGCAGGGACACAUAUCUACUAAGUGGCUGAAUCAUGAGUCGACUCAGAUCUGUUUGAUUCCAGAAGCUAAGGCCUGACUGAACACCUGACAUUGUCGUGAAUUUAAAAAAAAAAAAAAAAAGGAAGUAGAUUUUAAAGAGAAGUGCUCAUUAAGUUUAGUCUUGUGAGUCAUAAGUUUGAAGCACUGAAGAGAUGACUGGGGAUGUCUUUUGAACAGGUUAAACAUUGACUGGAGGCUCAGGAGCUCCUCUUUGGAGGUGUUGAUUUGAGAAUUGUUCAGAGAUGUCAAUGAAGCAACAGCAACAGAGGAGACCAUCCGGGAGUAGUUUAGAGAUUGUGAAUAGAAGGAUAUUGCCAAAGACCACUCAGUAAGGAAAGGAGAGUCACAGGAGAGAUGCAGGUAACCUGGAAACUGAGGGAGAGAGGACUUUCAGAUCACUGAGCAUGAUCAAGUGGCAUAAAAUGGCCUUUAGGCAGAGUCUUAUGAUGAGUUUGACAUGAGAAUAUUUAUAGCAUAAACUAGCCUGAACACAGUCAAGGUAGGAAGUAUAAAAUGCCCUUUCAAGAAUGGAAUUGAUGAGGAAUUGGUGAGGGAAAGAUUGUAGUUCAAAAUGAUGGAGACAGGGGAAGGGAUUUUCCCCUUGCAGAAGGCUUGACUCCACUUUUAGGCUGAAUGGAAGGAGUAGGAGGGACAGAAGAGUCAGGAUAGAGAGAAAACAACCCGAAGAACAAGUUCCUUGAGGAAAUGGAAAGGGAUGCCACACACAGAUGAAGCCUUCUGUAAGCAGUCUAAUAACCCCUUGGACUUAGUUGUUUUCAGGACAAGCCCAGGGGUGGCAUCUCCCGGAUGGAAAUACAAACCAAACAUCUGCCAGGCAUGUACCAAGGGUUCCAUACUUGACGUCAUCUUAUCUUGGAGAAGAGAUUCUCACACUAUGGGACUGACUCAGACAUCAUGCCUCUUCAGCCAGGCAGAGGAACUGACAUUCCCUAAGGUAUCCUAUAACAUAGCUAUAUCAGAGAUGGCCACAUGAGGAGGCCAGGACAUCAUUGAGCAACAUGCCUUGUGGUUGAGCUUCAUACUACCAUGACCAAGAGUCCAGGUCAAGAAUGCCAGUGUGCUUCUCUCAACAAAACAUAGCUUGAUUCUGGGCUUUUAGGCUUUUAGGUUCUUUCUAUCUUCUGAAACUCAUCCAAGAUUUUCAGCUCAUACUUUAAACACGUUGAGGUUAUCUUUGAAACACAACAGCAUCUCCCCUGAGAUCACCCUCUUAGUUUACGCAGUUUUAAGUUGGGGGUUUUAUUCAUUUAAAUGAAAAUGUAAGAAUUUUAAUUUAGGUUGAAAUUUUCUAAUGUUAGCUUUGAAUGCAAUUUAGAUGAAGCAUAAUAAAUGCAGGUUCAAAUUCAACCAGCCAUUUCUGAGAACUGUGCCUGGCACUGUGCCCAGUCCUCUCUGAUGAGCAUACACUCUUGUCUUCUCAACAUUCACCCUGCCUUCUUCUGUCAACCCCAAAUCAGGUGAGGCCAGCUAGUGAACAGUAUCUGAACUCAAUCACUGAGUUCACCCAGAAUCUAAUUGGCCUCGCUUGUGAAAUAUGUUAUUUUGAUGAGGAAUCAGAGGGCCAAUUAGCUGAGAUGCUUUGGACAAGUCCUCCAUUUAGUCACCUGUAAAAUGAGAAGAGGACAAGGA
rnacentral:lncRNA from 1 species